rnacentral:rRNA from 1 species
AUUGAACGCUGGCGGCAGGCCUAACACAUGCAAGUCGAACGAGUGGCGGACGGGUGAGUAAUGUCUGGGAAACUGCCCGAUGGAGGGGGAUAACUACUGGAAACGGUAGCUAAUACCGCAUACCAUCGGAUGUGCCCAGAUGGGAUUAGCUAGGAGGUGGGGUAACGGCUCACCUAGGCGACGAUCCCUAGCUGGUCUGAGAGGAUGACCGGCCACACUGGAACUGAGAAAAGGUCCAGACUCCUACGGGAGGCAGCAGGGGGGAAUAUUGCACAAAGGGCGCAAGCCUGAUGCAGCCAUGCCGCGGGUAUGAAGAAGGCCUUCGGGUUGUAAAGGACUUUCAGCGAGGAGGCGUUACUAGCAGAAGAAGCACCGGCUAACUCCGUGCCAGCGGCCGCGGUAAUAC